AACGUAGGAGACAAACGUUAUCCGGAGUUACUGGGCGUAAAGGGCGUGUAGGUGGUUUCGUAAGUCUGGCGUGAAAUAUCUCGGCUUAACCGAGGCAGGUCGUCGGAUACUGCGGGACUAGAGGACGGUAGGGGCGUGUGGAAUUCCGGGUGUAGUGGUGAAAUGCGUAGAGAUCCGGAGGAACACCAGUGGCGAAGGCGACACGCUGGGCCGUACCUGACACUGAUGCGCGACAGCAUGGGGGAGCAAACAGG
rnacentral:rRNA from 1 species